rnacentral:rRNA from 1 species
UCUUGUAAUUGGAAUGAUGGUGACCUAAACCCUCACCAGAGUAACAAUUGGAGGGCAAGUCUGGUGCCAGCAGCCGCGGUAAUUCCAGCUCCAAUAGCGUAUAUUAAACUUGUUGCAGUUAAAAAGCUCGUAUUGAAUUUUUGUGUUAAAAGAGUAUCGACAUUGGUCGUUUAUCGGUUUCGCUUUUGGGAUUUAUCCCUUUUUACUUUGAGAAAAUUAGAGUGUUUCAAGCAGACUUUUGUCUUGAAUACUUCAGCAUGGAAUAAUAGAGUAGGACUUUGGUUCUAUUUUGUUGGUUUGUGAACCUUAGUAAUGGUUAAUAGGAACGGUUGGGGGCAUUCGUAUUUAACUGUCAGAGGUGAAAUUCUUAGAUUUGUUAAAGACGAACUACUGCGAAAGCAUUUGCCAAGGACGUUUUCAUUAAUCAAGAACGAAAGUUAGGGGAUCGAAGACGAUCAGAUACCGUCGUAGUCCUAACCAUAAACU